GACUCCUCCUACCUCCAACAUCCUCCUUUGUCUUUAGAUGAAGAUAGUAUUUAAGAUGAGAACCUCUGCCAUUUUGUUAAGUUACCUAGUUUUUCUGGGUCUCUCCCAUGUAUACAUGUUAUAUAAAGCUUUGUUUGAUUUUCUCCUGUUAUUCUGUGUUAUGUCAAUUUAAUUCAUACACCAGCCAGAAAGGACCCAGAGUGGGUAGAGGAUAGUCUUCCUCCCCUUCAGUAUGGCAAUGAGGAUUGGGUAAAAAAUUCACUGGUUGGAUGCUCUUCACUUUUGGACUACUGCAGCUGAGAGGUCCUGGACCCCUGACAAGAGCUGGCAGGAGAUAAGAGUUCUUACCAUGUCGGUCUCCCGGAUCUCUGCCUACAGGGUCCAGUGGAAGUGAGAGUGACAGUUAUUGUUUCACUCUGAUGCUUUCACAAAUAUUUUCAUCUUCAGAGAGAUUCAUGGAGAGGACUCUGAAAUUUACUCUGGAAUACAGGUUUCUGACAAACUUUCAGAUUAUAAAGCUGAACUGGGUAAGAAAUUACAGAACUCUAAUGGAAAAACUGACUUCAUGAAAUUGCUAACAAAAUUAAGUUCAAGAGUCGAUUACACAGGACUGAAUGAACUGAUGGGGAUGAUUAUAAUUUUUAUGACUUUUGUUUGAAAUAUUGCUGAUUUUUUCAAUGUUUUGUUUUUUCAGAUUUAAGGAAAACUAUUUCUCUUUUCUCUUAAGCUAACUAUGACUUAUAGCAAUUUGAUGAAUUAUACUUCUAUAAACAGAAUGGAAACAUUUAUCUUUUUCUUUCUACCUAAUCCCUCCAGAACUUGAAAAUUCUUGCCCUGCAAACUGAAGCAGGACAACUUGAUAUAAACUUGAGAGAGAUCACCACGAUGGCAUGCUUGUUGCUGUGUAAUCCACUCAAGAGAAAGCUACAAGAAAUCUUUAGAUGCUGACAUCUAGAAAUCUUCUUAAUUGGCUGUCCUCUGAGCUCAGAAACUGGUUUAUAAUUUGCUCCAACCAUUAACCUUGUUUUUCUUUUGUUUCCAUAGAAAUCCUUCUUAUUAAAUAUCUGAUUGCUUGCUUCCACAAUAUAGGCCUAACUUUGGGAGCCCACCUGCAUCACCGCUUUCUAAAAUGAACUUAACUGGACUGAUCUAUUACCAGGACUAAGAAAUGUGUUCAGUGAGAUGAAACAAUCUACCACUCAGCUUCUGGACUAUGAAACUUCUUUAAGUUUCAAAAGGACUGUGAAACUUCUAGGGAAACUUCAGGGAACUAAUGGGGUUCAGGGCAGGAUGCCCCAAGAUGUGCCACUCUGGUAUGUGGAUUAUUUCAAGCUGAAGACAAUAAAGGCUCAGAAGACUCUCAAAGAAGAGUUGACCUCCUCCACCCACUACUAACUGCCUAAAAGGAUUUAAGAUAGAAGGCCUCUCCCCAGGACAGGCCAUCACCAUAGAUAACUCUGAGUAUGGAUAGACUGGGAGAGUCCUUGCUAAACCCAUUCUUAUCAAAGUUCUGUUUACCAAACAUUUACCUUUGUAAGGGAAAUCUCCAUUUGUAAAGAUAUCUCCCUCUCUGUACCAGGAAGAAGUGGGGAUGACCUCAUCUCUAGAAACUUGUUAAGGCAGAAAGCAGGGACUUAAAUCUGCAUAAUAACCUUACUCUUGUUUACUGUGUUUUUCUGGUAAUCUCCCGUAACUGACUUCCCCCACCCCCAGCAUCCUCCUUUGUCUUUAGCUUAAGAUAGUAUUUAAGAUGAGAACCUCCACCAUUUUGUUGAGUUGCCCAGUUUUUCCAGGUCUCUCACAUGUAUACGUGUUAUAAAGCUUUGUUUGAUUUUCUCCUGUUAUUCUGUCUCAUGUCAUUUUAAUGUGUACCCCAGCCAGAAAGGAUAGGGUAGCCAGAGUGGGUAGAGGAUAAUCUUCCUCCCCUUCAGUAGCAAUUUCAAACUGUAGCAGUCAUCAGUUAAUCAUAUCAUUCAACAAAAAGCACUGUUAGUGCAGGUUUCUAGCUGAGCAGGGCACUGGGUGUUUCUUGAAGGAUUGGGUCAGGGCCACACAAAGGUCCUUCACCCUGGCCUGCACUUUGUAUCAACCCAGAAGCCUGAGAAUAAGUCCUUCUAACUCCAACCUCCACCCUCUCCAAUGCAGGAGUGAGCUUACAUUAACACGUACAAUAGAACAAAUUUGUUAAGAUUAUGGGCUUUGGAGUUAGACAAAACUAAGUUCAGAUCCAAGGUGUAUAACCUUGGAUAAAUUAUUUAACUUUUCUAAAAUGCAGUUAUCUCAUGAAGUGGACACCUUCAUGAGUACACUGCCGAGGUCUUCUUUCAAUGAAGGACUGCUUGCCCCAGCCAUUGGGAGUGCCAUUGGCAGACAGCCUUCAUGUCUCAGCCCCUUCUGGAUUGCCUCAUUAGAGAGGAUCACCUGGUCCAAGACCACACCCCUUCCUGUGACCACCCACAUCAAUGACUAACUGAUGCAGGAAUAUGAAAUCCUGGCUUUCUUAGCCCAACUCAGGAUAAUUUUGACGGGCUCCCCUCACUCCAGAGUCACUGUGGGGCGAAUGUCCUUGGAUCUGCAUUGCAGCUCAACCUCCACCUCUGCCCACACCUGCUUAUGUCAUCUUCCUUCUACUGGUGUUGAUUCUAAAGUCACUUCUUAAUAAACAUUAAGCACAUUAAACUCCAUCUCAGAAUUUGCUUCCCAAGAAAUCAAACCUAUUACAUUCAAAAACAAACAAGCAAAAAGGUGAAUGAAAACUCUAAGUGGCAGGAAUUGUAUGGAUUCAUUCAUUUAACAAAUAUUUAUUGGGCCAGACUCUGUUCUAGAUGCUAAGAAUACAGCAAUGAAUAGAGAUGACUAAGUUUAAGAAAAGAGCUCAUGAAAAGCAUUGAGGUUGAAAUCAAUUUUUAGCUACAGUAUUGAUUGACUACUUGCUACAAAAAGAGAAUAGUAUUUCUUCCUCCCAUCACCACUCCCCCAUCUGCCUCAUUUUUUUUUAAUUGUCUAAGCUUAGAAUAUUCAUAUUAUGUUCAGAAACCAUAAAAUCUUUGAUUGUCAGUCUAAGUAGGUCUCAGCCUGUUUGAACCCAAUUCCCAUACAGGUUUCCUUCCAUACCUCCAUGCUGCCAUUGGGAGCUUAGAAAUCAUUAUACUGCUAUUCCAUUACACUAGAUUGUAGGAAAUUGUGAAGCUAUUUAAAGUCCUAUUCACCUGAACACCUCAUGCAUCAGUUUCUGCUUCUGUGCCCAUGAAACAUGGUAAAUUCUAACACCCAAUGAGUGUACACCUGCCCAGAUACACCACACAGCUGUGUAUUUACUGCGGUCUUGUGGCUCUAAGCUCUAACCAGGAGAUGGGGCACAAGGUUUAUUGGUUUUCAAAUCCCACAAACCUAUGGUGGUUUGCUGCUGCCAUCCCAGGGCUCAGCACAUAGAGUAGGACAUGAAUUCAUUCAUGUCCUCAGAGACUCAGGAAUAUAUUAACUCUCCUCACUCCCCUCUAACCCUCCCAGCAUAAGGAAUCCACUUCUACUCUAGGGGUUCAAGAAACUAGCUCUUACCUUCCAAGAUAUUUUAUUCUUGUCAACCUAAGAGCUAGACUUUUGACACUCAAAAGCCAAGAAGAAAUCCCUCUUUUCUCUAGUAUUUGCUGAAGCACCCCUUUUCUGAGCUAUAAACAUGAAAGACCUGAGAAUUAGAGUGUGAAGAAAGCUAAGGAGGCAACUGAAUGAUCCAGGGAAUGGAGGAGAUCAUUGGUUAAGUUUUCUGAAUAUCUCACCACUAUACUUUGCUCUGAACCCCCUCACAGGCCUCUCUUCUCUGCUUGAUCACUCUCCCUGUAGACAGCCUCCUUGAGCCAACCCUUUGCCUCUCCAAUAGCGUGUAAACCAGGGUAUUCCUUGACUCUCUCCUAUCAUUUUUUUGCAGUCUUGCCUUUGCCUGGUAUCCUGUCUUGCACCCAGUGUUAUAUAAUAAUGCUGUGCAUGGCCUCAG